rnacentral:scRNA from 1 species
GGUCACUAGAUAAAACUGUAGUUCAUGAAGUUUACAGAGCAAUUGUAAAUAAAUAAAUAAAACAGUAGCCCAUUAUUUUCCCUUUAGCGCAUUAAGUCAUAUGGUUGGGAUAGUGGAGCUGCUGAUAGUUUGGGAUUCUGUCAGUGUGUAUUCCAAAAGUGAGUGGCUCACAGCUGACUAGUAUCCAACAGAACCAGUUGCAAAAGAGCCUGAGGAGUGGCAGGAAGGGUGGGAGAGUGCGUGAUCUCAAGUUUUCAAUCUGAGACG